rnacentral:tRNA from 1 species
GCGCUCGUAGCUCAGUAGGAUAGAGCAAUCGCCUCCUAAGCGAUAGGUCGUACGUUCAAUUCGUAUCGGGCGCG